GACGAACGCUGGCGGCGUGCUUAACACAUGCAAGUCGAACGGAAAGGCCCUGCUUUUGUGGGGUGCUCGAGUGGCGAACGGGUGAGUAACACGUGAGUUACCUGCCCUUGACUUUGGGAUAACUUCAGGAAACUGGGGCUAAUACCGGAUAGGAGCUCCUGCUGCAUGGUGGGGGGUGGAAAGUUUCGGCGGUUGGGGAUGGACUCGCGGCUUAUCAGCCUGUUGGUGGGGUAGUGGCUUACCAAGGCUUUGACGGGUAGCCGGCCUGAGAGGGUGACCGGCCACAUUGGGACUGAGAUACGGCCCAGACUCCUACGGGAGGCAGCAGUGGGGAAUAUUGCACAAUGGGCGGAAGCCUGAUGCAGCAACGCCGCGUGCGGGAUGACGGCCUUCGGGUUGUAAACCGCUUUCGCCUGUGACGAAGCGUGAGUGACGGUAAUGGGUAAAGAAGCACCGGCUAACUACGUG
rnacentral:rRNA from 1 species